AUGAGAGUUUGAUCCUGGCUCAGAACGAACGCUGGCGGCAGGCUUUACACAUGCAAGUCGAACGGUAACGGGUGUAGCAAUACAUGCCGACGAGUGGCGCACGGGUGAGUAACGCGUGGGAAUUUGCCUUGGAGUGGGGAAUAACAGUUGGAAACGACUGCUAAUACCGCAUACGCCCUACGGGGGAAAGAUUUAUCGCUCCAAGAUAAGCCCGCGUCUGAUUAGGCAGUUGGUGGGGUAAUGGCCUACCAAACCGAUGAUCAGUAGCUGGUCUGAGAGGACGAGCAGCCACACUGGGACUGAGACACGGCCCAGACUCCUACGGGAGGCAGCAGUGGGGAAUAUUGGGCAAUGGGCGCAAGCCUGACCCAGCCAUGCCGCGUGAGUGAUGAAGGCCUUCGGGUUGUAAAGCUCUUUUGUCCGGGACGAUAAUGACGGUACCGGAAGAAUAAGCACCGGCUAACUUCGUGCCAGCAGCCGCGGUAAUACGAAGGGUGCUAGCGUUGUUCGGAAUUACUGGGCGUAAAGCGCGCGUAGGCGGCUUUGCAAGUUAGGGGUGAAAUGCCUGGGCUCAACCCAGGAAUUGCCUUUGAUACUGCAAGGCUAGAGGAUGUGAGAGGAUAGCGGAAUAUCCAGUGGAGAGGUGAAAUUCGUAGAUAUUGGAUAGAACACCGGUGGCGAAGGCGGCUAUCUGGCGCAUUUCUGACGCUUAGGUGCGAAAGCGUGGGGAUCAAACAGGAUUAGAUACCCUGGUAGUCCACGCCCUAAACGAUGGGUACUUGGUGUUGGGCAGCUUGCUGCUCAGUGCCGGAGCUAACGCGUUAAGUACCCCGCCUGGGGAGUACGGUCGCAAGAUUAAAACUCAAAGGAAUUGACGGGGGCCCGCACAAGCGGUGGAGCAUGUUGUUUAAUUCGUCGCAACGCGCAGAACCUUACCAACUCUUGACAUAUGCACUGCGAUUGGCAGAGAUGCCUUUCUCAUUUAGUUGGGUGCAUACAGGUGUUGCAUGGCUGUCGUCAGCUCGUGUCGUGAGAUGUUGGGUUAAGUCCCGCAACGAGCGCAACCCUCAUCAUCAGUUGCCAGCAUUUAGUUGGGUACUCUGGUGAAACUGCCAUCGACAAGAUGGAGGAAGGUGGGGAUGACGUCAAGUCCUCAUGGCCCUUACGAGUUGGGCUACAAACGUGCUACAAUGGCGACCACAAUGGGCAGCAAUCCCGCGAGGGUGAGCUAAUCUCUAAAAGUCGUCUCAGUUCGGAUCGGACUCUGCAACUCGAGUCCGUGAAGUUGGAAUCGCUAGUAAUCGUAGAUCAGCACGCUACGGUGAAUACGUUCCCGGGCCUUGUACACACCGCCCGUCACACCAUGGGAGCUGGUUUUACCUGAAGGCGUCGGCCUAACCGCAAGGAGGGCUGCGACCACGGUGGGGCUAGUGACUGGGGUGAAGUCGUAACAAGGUAGCCGUAGGAGAACCUGCGGCUGGAUCACCUCCUUU
rnacentral:rRNA from 1 species